rnacentral:rRNA from 1 species
UGAGGAAUAUUGGACAAUGGACGAAAGUCUGAUCCAGCCAUGCCGCGUGCAGGAAGACGGCCCUCUGGGUUGUAAACUGCUUUUAUACGGGAAGAAACCCCCCGACGUGUUGGGGGCUGACGGUACCGUACGAAUAAGCACCGGCUAACUCCGUGCCAGCAGCCGCGGUAAUACGGAGGGUGCAAGCGUUAUCCGGAUUUAUUGGGUUUAAAGGGUCCGUAGGCGGAAGAUUAAGUCAGUGGUGAAAUCCUGCAGCUCAACUGUAGAAUUGCCGUUGAUACUGGUUUUCUUGAAUUUAUACGAAGUGGGCGGAAUAUGACAUGUAGCGGUGAAAUGCAUAGAUAUGUCAUGGAACACCGAUUGCGAAGGCAGCUCACUAGUCUAAUAUUGACGCUGAGGGACGAAAGCGUGGGGAGCGAACAG